rnacentral:rRNA from 1 species
GCGGUUAAAAAGCUCGUAGUCCGGAGGUGUGUCUCGGACGGUCGGUUCGCCGCUUGUCGGUGCUCAACUGGCCGGUCCGGACGUCCUGCCGGUGGGGCCGCGAGGCCCCGUCAUCCUUCUUUGGCCUCUUCACCGAGUGCCUUGGUGGGCCGGCACGUUUACUUUGAACAAAUUAGAGUGCUCAAAGCAGGCCGUUGGUCGCCUGAAUACUGUGUGCAUGGAAUAAUGGAAUAGGACCUCGGUUCCAUUUUGUUGGUUUUCAGAACUCGAGGUAAUGAUUAAUAGGGACGGACGGGGGCAUUCGUAUUGCGACGUUAGAGGUGAAAUUCUUGGAUCGUCGCAAGACGAACCGAUGCGAAAGCAUUUGCCAAGAACGUUUUCGUUGAUCAAGAACGAAAGUUAGAGGUUCGAAGGCGAUCAGAUACCGCCCUAGUUCUAACCAUAAACGAUGCCAGCUAGCCAUCCGCCGAAGUUCCUUCUAUGACUCGGCGGGCAGCUUCCGGGAAACCAAAGCUCUUGGGUUCCGGGGGAAGAUGGUUGCAAAGCUCAACUUAAAAGGAAUCG